AUGCCCUGCGUUGUAGAAGCAAACCAAUGCAAAGCAAUCCAUUUGAGCUUCACAAAACUACCACUCCAACGUGUGCUCCUCUCUCAAGUGUGUGUCCGUGUGCUAGUAGCCUACAGCACCGUUUCUCUCGGGAGGUACUCCAUAUACACGUUGAUUAACACGUAUACACAUCCUUCAACGACAAUCAUGGUCGGCGCUCAAGAGCAAGGGCUGAAGCUGCUGGUGCCGCGGAGCGGCGUGAGCAUAUAUGCCAUCCGCGUCCAGAUGCCGCUUGCCAUGAAGGGUCUGGCCUACGACUACCUCCCCAAGGACCCCGGGUGCAAGAGCGACCUACUCCUCGCGUCCAACCCCGUGCACAAGACGCUGCCCGUCCUCAUCCACGGCGGCAGGCCCGUCUGCGAGUCGCUCAUCAUCAUGGAGUACCUCGACAACGCAUUCCCCGGCAACGGCGCCUCCAUCCUCCCCGCCGACCCCUACCGCCGCGCCGUCGCUCGCUUCUGGGCCGCCUACAUCGACAACAAGAUGUUCCCUUCGUGCAUCGGCAUUCUCAGUACGGCGAAGCAGCAGGAGAAAGCCGACAAGGUGGAGGAGACCUUGGCGGCGUUCGGGCUCCUAGAAGCCGCCCUGGCAGAGUGCUCCAAAGAAGGGGAGGCGGAGGCAGAGGCGCCGUUUUUCGGUGGUGGCUCCAUCGGGUUCCUGGACAUUGCGCUCGGGUGCUAUAUUCCCUGGUUCGAAGCGAUAGGCCGCCUUGCUGGCAUGCCGCCGUUCCUAGACGCAACGAGGACACCAAAGCUUGCUGCGUGGGCGGGGCGGUUCAGGGCCGCCGAGCCGGUCAUUGCCCUGCUGACUGCGGUGGACAAGGUGGAGGAGUACAUCACUAAGGUGCUUUAUCCAAAGUGGAACGUCGCGGUCACAGUUGGUAACUAA
rnacentral:rRNA from 1 species